rnacentral:lncRNA from 1 species
ACUAUGCGGGUUUACAUAUAGGGUCUUAGGUCUGCUAUGGGUCUCCUAAUGGGUCCCUAUAGGGCUCUAUGGGGUCCCUAUAGGGCUCUAGGGGUUAUUAUAGGGGUCCUAUAUGGGUCUAUGGUCUCUAUUGGUUAUUUAUAGGUCUAUAGGUCUCUAUAGGGUUUAUGGGGGCUAUGGGUUAUAUAGGUUCCAUAGGGUUCCUAUGGGGUCGCAUGGGGCAGUGGGGGGGCGGGGUCUCUAUGGGGUCCCUAUGGGGUCCCUAUGGGGUCGCUAUGGGGUUAUUAUAGGGUCUCUAUAGGGUUCCUAUAGGGUUCCUAUGGGGUCGCUAUGGGGCAGUGGGGGGGCGGGGUCUCUAUGGGGUCCCUAUGGGGUUAUUAUAGGGUCCCUAUAGGGUCUCUAUGGGGUCUAUGGGGUCCUAUGGGUUUAUGGGUCCUAUGGGGUCGCCUAUGGGCUCCUAUGGGCUUCUUAUAGGGUUCUAUAGGGUCUCUAUGGGUCGCUAUGGGGAGUGGGGGGCGGGAUCUCUAGGGUCAUAUAUGGUCUCUAUGGGUUUAUUAAUAGUGGGUCCUAUGGGGUUCUAUGGGGUUUAUGGGUCCCGAAUGGGGCAUGGGGGUUCGGGUCGCACUCGGUCCGGGUUGUGGGGGGGCGUUGGGGGGGUUCUCGAGGGCGGCGGCGGCGGCAGCGGCGGAUCUGAGCAUGUCCCGGCCCCACGACGAGGGGGAGCGACACGGGGGGAGCAGCAGCAGCAGCAGCAACAACAGCAGCACAGACACAGAAAGAAAUGGACCCGACACGAACCACCAGGUGAGCUAUGGGGCGCUAUGGGGCGCUAUGGGGC